CUGGUCUCCCAGGGAAGUGAAACAGCUUUCCUACUUUCUCGUGCUGCUCCGUGGAAAGGAGAGUGAAAGACAAACUGUAAGCCGAGAAUGGGAAUGGAUGUCCAGGAGCAGAAACGCAUCUCACACAGAGUUUGCAAGGUCUACCCCAAAGCCAAACAGAAGGAGUACAGGACUAGAGAGCGCAGGAGAGCUCACCCUUGGUCCAGGGAGAAGAUUGGCGGCUGAUCUUCAAAAUGAAUUUCUUUUUUUAAGCUAGUUUCCCAUGGCUCUGCUUUGCCAAGGUGACA